rnacentral:rRNA from 1 species
GCCUUUCAGAGGGGACGAACAGCUGGAACGGCUGCUAAUACCGCAUGACGCAUUCGGAUGGCAUCAUCUGAAUGCCAAAGAUUUAUCGCUGAAAGAUGGCCUCGCGUCUGAUUAGAUAGUUGGCGGGGUAACGGCCCACCAAGUCGACGAUCAGUAGCCGGACUGAGAGGUUGACCGGCCACAUUGGGACUGAGAUACGGCCCAG